UACGUAGGUGGCAAGCGUUGUCCGGAUUUACUGGGCGUAAAGAGCGCGCAGGCGGUCGUUCAAGUCGCGUGUGAAAGCCCCCGGCUCAACUGGGGAGGGUCACGCGAUACUGAUCGACUCGAAGGCAGGGGAGGGUAGUGGAAUUCCCGGUGUAGUGGUGAAAUGCGUAGAUAUCGGGAGGAACACCAGUGGCGAAGGCGACUACCUGGCCUGUUCUUGACGCUGAGGCGCGAAAGCUAGGGGAGCAAACGGG
rnacentral:rRNA from 1 species